AAUGUACUCCUUUUGUCCUAAAAUUUGUGUCUUAGAUUUGUCUACAUACGAAUGUAUUUAUUCACAUUUUAGUGUUAGAUACAUUCGUAUUUAAAUAAAUUUAAGAUAAGAAUUUUGGGACAGAGGAAGUAUAUA
rnacentral:pre_miRNA from 9 species